UACGUAGGGUGCAAGCGCUAAUCGGAAUUACUGGGCGUAAAGCGUGCGCAGGCGGUUCGGAAAGAAAGAUGUGAAAUCCCCGGGCUUAACCUGGGAACUGCAUUGGUGACUGGCGGGCUGGAGUAUGGCAGAGGGGGGUAGAAUUCCACGUGUAGCAGUGAAAUGCGUAGAGAUGUGGAGGAAUACCGAUGGCGAAGGCAGCCCCCUGGGCCAAUACUGACGCUCAUGCACGAAAGCGUGGGGAGCAAACAGG
rnacentral:rRNA from 1 species